CUCUUAUUCAGAGUGAUGGAGAUACAAGGAUCUACGAAGUCACGGCAACCCCUUAACAGGAAGGUGCCAACCUGAGCGAGCAAUCGAUCAAUAAGAG
rnacentral:ncRNA from 2 species